rnacentral:rRNA from 1 species
AGGACGAACGCUGGCGGCGUGCUUAACACAUGCAAGUCGAGCGGUAAGGCUCCUUCGGGAGUACACGAGCGGCGAACGGGUGAGUAACACGUGAGCAAUCUGCCCUUCACUUUGGGAUAACUUCCGGAAACGGAAGCUAAUACCGAAUACGACCAUUACAGACAUCUGUUGAUGGUGGAAAGUUCCGGCGGUGAAGGAUGAGCUCGCGGCCUAUCAGCUUGUUGGUGGGGUAAUAGCCCACCAAGGCGACGACGGGUAGCCGGCCUGAGAGGGUGACCGGCCACACUGGGACUGAGACACGGCCCAGACUCCUACGGGAGGCAGCAGUGGGGAAUAUUGGACAAUGGGCGAAAGCCUGAUCCAGCAACGCCGCGUGAGGGAUGACGGCCUUCGGGUUGUAAACCUCUUUCAGCAGGGACGAAGCGAAGUGACGGUACCUGCAAAGAAGCACCGGCCAACUACGUGCCAGCAGCCGCGGUAA